GUAAAUUAAAAAAAAUUCCUUAUUUUUUAACCACACAUUUUCCGUCACACACUAUUUAAGAAUGCAUUAUUACUAAAAUAAUGUGACUCAAACACCCAAAUAAUUUUAAAGGAAACAGUAGAACAACCAUUCAAGAAUACAUUAUUACUAAUAUAAUGUGACUCAAACUGGUAAUUUUAAAGGGAACAGUAGAACAACUUCACUCAAUCUGUAACAUAGGGAUACGUUAAUGGUCAUUAGUUAUUAGCAGUGUCAAGAUGAAUAGAGCAUCCUAAACAAUCGAAACUGAUUUAAUGAGUAGACAGAGAAAAAGUAGUGUUGCGUCCCUAACAUUUCAUGUGUUGCUAUUAUGAUCCUCAACUUAAUUAAAUUGAUGUACCUAUGUGACUUCGAGCAAGAACAACAUAAGUGGUUUCAGAGUUUGACCCCUCAUCUUAAAUUACGUUAAACUAGAGGCAAUUUUAGCAUCCAUGUUGACGAUUUCAUUCUCGUAAGGAUCCUCAAAAUAAGUUGAGAAUUCAGAACUUUUGAAGAUUAUAGACCUAUGGCCACAUCACAUGAAAAUUGAAAGUGGCUUAUUUUCCUUUAAAUAUAGAGAUAAUUAGGCUAGGAUUCAAAUUUUUUUGGUAUCACAUUGUUUUCCAGUUUUAUUAUUAUUAGGCUACUGUCAAAAUUUUCCAAAAACUAAAAGACAAAACAUA
rnacentral:lncRNA from 1 species